rnacentral:rRNA from 1 species
ACAGAGGGUGCGAGCGUUGUCCGGAAUCACUGGGCGUAAAGGGCGCGUAGGCGGCCUGGUAAGGUCGCGGUGAAAGCCCGGGGCUCAACCUCGGGUCGGCCGUGCGAACUGGGUCACUUGAGCAGAAUAGAGGCAGGUGGAAUUCCGGGUGUAGCGGUGGAAUGCGUAGAGAUCCGGAAGAACACCGGUGGCGAAGGCGGCCUGCUGGGUUCUGGCUGACACUGAGGCGCGACAGCGUGGGGAGCAAACAGGA